CACAACCCUUCGGCUUGGUGUCUGGCUGAGCUGAGAGCAUUUGUAUACCUGCAGGAGGAAGGGGAGGGGAGGGGGAAUGAGGAGAACAGGACCAAACACAGAACAACGCCACUUACUACCAGGCUACAGGCAGAGCAGGCGGUGAAGAAGGCAAACAGUAAGUUGGCUUUCAUAGCAAGGAAGCUCCAGUACAGGAGCAGCAACGGCUUGCCGCAAUUGUACAGGGUUUGGAUACCAAUGGCACCCAUCAUGCAUCCACAAAGGGCUGGGUGCUGCAUUCCCUCAGCUCGAUUGUACCUCUGAGGAGGAAGCCAGUGAAACCUUAAAAGAAAAGCAUCUUACCUGAACCUUUCACCAGCUCAGAGAAUUUCACCUUGUUGCAGGUUUCAGCCACUAGAUGACUUUCAUGCCAAAUAAAGAGUGACAAGACCGCUUUACGUCAACUUGGAUCAAGAAAAUGGUGGAACUAACCAAUUGCUACACACAGGCUUACCCCCUGUGAGAGAAUGCACCUUUCCAGAUGAGCUUUUCUUGAGAGUAGGCCUGGCCCUUUGUUGGUCGACUAGGCCUCUGUAAAGACUGAACACCUGUGUGAGUGUUGGGAGGUUUAAGCUUGACCAGCUGUUUCUUGAACGUAGGAAACCUUACUAGUGUUAAGAAGGAAAGCACUGCUAUCCCUGGCGAUGGUGUUUUGGAUCAGCGGGAAUAGAAAUGCUUCUCUCCGGACACUCAAGCAUAUCUGUCAACAUUCCAGUAUUUACCCGACUCAGCUCUUCCAACCAGGAAUAUGAAAACUUCAUUGAGCAAUAAGAUUUACUGGAGCCUUUCACAGCACCUUUGCAAAUAAACGUUAACUCGGUGAGAUCAUCCUCUCCAGGAACGACUGCUUAUGAUCACGAACCUUCUGAAAGUCUUUUGAUGGAUGAUGAAGUCCAGGAUUUAUAGAGAAGUUUCAGCCCUGCUUUGCAAAGGGUUUUAUUGUACUACAAAUGGACGGAUGACCACUAAGUUCCUCCAUGAACCUCUGUCUCACAGAUAGAAUGCCAUAUAACUUCAAAAGACAUGCUCACAAUGUUAUCACUGUAUCAUAGCCUGUGAACUGAGUGUACAAAGGUCUCAGAUUUCUUCCUAAUGGGGCCAAUUUUAGGAUGACAAAUUAGUAAAAGCAUGCUACUCUUUGUAACUGUGGAGCUUACUACAAGCCCACGCAUUGGAGGGGCCUGUGACUAUAAUAUUUAGAU